CUUGUUAAGGAACGGCCUUCUUUUGGCUUGAAUAAUGCAAUCUGUGAACGCCAACUCACGCUUCUGCGCUGGUACAAUCUUUCCUUAUACAAGAAAUAUGUUCCAUGAGAACUGGCGCCUCAGUUUCACCAACACUUAAGUUUUCGAGAGUGGGGACAGAUGUUUCAAUAACAAAAGAGUGCUUUUGUCCUGCAGCUGGGAUGUUAUUGGUGAAAUUUGAGUACCCGCUUCUUCGAGACUUGGGACAUUUAGAAUGUCGUCGAAAACUCAUCAAGCAAAAACCACUAUCGGCAAUUGAAAAAAAGGUCUUGCUCGAGUAGGAAUUGUAAUUAUAUUGUCUACUGCGAAGCAUAAAGGGGAGAAACGCACUCACUUUAACUUUACUUAACGCUUCUAAAGUUCUACGGCAAAAGAGUAACUUU